UACGGAGGAUGCGAGCGUUAUCCGGAUUUAUUGGGUUUAAAGGGUGCGUAGGCGGAGUGUCAAGUCAGCGGUAAAAUUUCGGGGCUCAACCCCGUCGUGCCGUUGAAACUGACGCCCUUGAGUGAGUGAGAAGUAAGCGGAAUGCGUGGUGUAGCGGUGAAAUGCAUAGAUAUCACGCAGAACGCCGAUUGCGAAGGCAGCUUACCGGCGCUCAACUGACGCUGAGGCACGAAGGCCAGGGGAGCGAAAGGG
rnacentral:rRNA from 1 species